rnacentral:tRNA from 1 species
GUUUCCGUAGUUUAAUUAAAACAUUAGUAUUGUAAACUAAAAUUGACAUCUCUGGGGACU